rnacentral:rRNA from 1 species
UGGGAAUUUUGACAAUGGGCGAAAGCCUGAUCCAGCAAUGCCGCGUGUGUGAAGAAGGCCUUCGGGUUGUAAAGCACUUUUGUCCGGAAAGAAAUCCUUGGCUCUAAUACAGUCGGGGGAUGACGGUACCGGAAGAAUAAGCACCGGCUAACUACGUGCCAGCAGCCGCGGUAAUACGUAGGGUGCAAGCGUUAAUCGGAAUUACUGGGCGUAAAGCGUGCGCAGGCGGUUUGCUAAGACCGAUGUGAAAUCCCCGGGCUCAACCUGGGAACUGCAUUGGUGACUGGCAGGCUAGAGUAUGGCAGAGGGGGGUUAGAAUUCCACGUGUAGCAGUGAAAUGCGUAGAGAUGUGGAGGAAUACCGAUGGCGAAGGCAGCCCCCUGGGCCAAUACUGACGCUCAUGCACGAAAGCGUGGGGAGCAAACAGGAUUAGAUACCCUGGUAGUCCACGCCCCUAAACGAUGUCAACUGUUGUUGGGGACUUCAUUUCCUUAGUAACGUAGCUAACGCGUGAAGUUGACCGCCUGGGGAGUACGGUCGCAAGAUUAAAACUUCAAAUGAAUUGACGGGGUCAUAGCUGUUUCC